CCCGGGUCUCCCGCAGGCACCACAGUUCCUGCACCUUCUCGAAAGAACUGCACUUCUUUGGCCUCUCUCUCUCUCUCUAUUUUAUUUUAUUAUUUUUUUUACAAGCAAAGCAUGGUGGCUAUUUCCUCCCCAUUUGGAAGAGCGGGAAACUGAAAGCUGGAGAGAGACCUGGAGGCCGGUUGGGACCCCCCAGUAGGGGGGAUCCGGCUGGGCUGGAGUGAGUCCAGGUCCCAGCAGGAAAGCAUGCACAGUCCCGGGGAUGCUCCAGGGGGUGCAGAGCUGUGGGCAGAACUGAGAGGGCCCACAAGGGGUGGAGAGGCACCCUGGGACCUGCACCUGGGACAGGGACCCGGCGCCUGGCAGCGGAGGGAGCAAGCACCCGAGGCCUGGGAGUCCUGGGCGGGGAGCGGCCCGCUGCCUGAGGGCACCGCUUCGGGGGCCUGCUGGGGCUGAGGGAGGCACCCCAACUUCUCUUCCCUGCAGCCUGCCAGCCUCCUAUCAGGAGCUGAUCUCGGAGCCAGGGGACCAAGGGGCUGGGGGGUGGCGGAGUCCCCGGAGGUCACCCACCCUCGCUCCCAUGCCCAGAGAGGGUGGAGAACAGACAGAAGAUUCCAGCACAGCCUGCUCCCGACAAGGAUGCCCGCAGCCGCGUGUGAAGCUGCCUCCCUGGGGCUCCAGUGUGAGUCACCCGCACACCUGCACCCCGCCGGUGAUGGCCCGGUCUCCCCCUCCACCGGGAGCCCCCAGGCCCGGCGGCUCCUCCAAGGCCCUCGCCUCAUCUCUAACACCGCUGAGACGGUCUCUAACCCGGAGGCCAGCCGUGGGAAAUUUAGACAACACUGGAAUCUGCCAAGAAUAAAAGUUAACCAUCCACGACCCACCACCCCGAAUCUGCGGGCGAAUUUCCUCCCAUACCUCGGUUCUUGGCAUAACAGAUACAUAACAGGUAAGUAUGCGUAACACGGGCACAGCAGAGGCUGCGGGGAAACUGCAGGUGCCGAGGGCGGUGGUCCUGGGCUGGGGCACGGCGGGCACCACGCGGCGGGGGC
rnacentral:lncRNA from 1 species